rnacentral:antisense_RNA from 1 species
AGAAGUGCCCACAUCCGGCCAAAUGGGGGCUCACCAGCUGCCCAUGGAUGGAGUGGGAGGAGGCCCCCAGUCUCCAGGAGGCUCCAUGCCUCAGGGUCAGACCGGCAGCUCAGGAACCCAGUUAGCAGGACGAACUCCAGCAGAGGAACUCAGCGCCAUUGCUGCGGCUGUCGGCCAGAAGAGAAAGAGAAAGAGAAAGAGAAUCCGCCUCGGUGUGACAACCCGAGUAGCAGGAGAGUGGGCAGCAGGGGGUGUCUGGGAGCAGAGAGGGGCUCAGGCCUGCUGGGUGGAGCGGCACUGGGGGACACAGAGCCUGGUGGUGGGGAGACCUCUGGAUGGAGACAGCCCAUAGCCCUGGAGCCCCAAGGCAGGCACCAGUGAGUCCCUCGUGACAGCCUUGCUCCCCGCAUCACAUGGAACCCCGUGACCCAUGUGAGGGCACCAGUGCCCCCGUGGCCCCUUCCUACUGCUGGACGUGGUGCAGCCAAUGGAAGCCCAGCGUGGCCUCUCCCGGCACCAGCACCACCAGGCCCCGUGGAGGACACCAGGGUAAUC